ensembl:snoRNA U3 Small nucleolar RNA U3
AAGACUCUACUUUCAGGGAUCAUUUCUUUAGUCUGGAACUAGAGGAUUGUGUUUCUACAGAGGUUGGUCUGGCUGUCCAUGAUGAUGAAUGAAGAUGUUUCCUUCAGAGCAGGAAGCUGGUGAGAAGAUGAGAAUCUUCUUCACUGAUGAAGACUGUUCAGUGUUUCUGGAUGUGACACUGAAGGAGGAAACAUUGUCUGAGUGGA